rnacentral:rRNA from 1 species
CCCUUAGAUGUUCUGGGCUGCACGCGCGCUACACUGAUGCGCUCAACGAGUUUACGAACUUGCCCGGAAGGGUUGGUUAAUCUUUUUAAAACGCAUCGUGAUGGGGAUAGAUUAUUGCAAUUAUUCAUCUUCAACGAGGAAUUCCUAGUAAACGCAAGUCAUCAGCUUGCAUUGAUUACGUCCCUGCCCUUUGUACACACCGCCCGUCGCACCUACCGAUUGAAUGGUCCGGUGAAAUCUUCGGAUCUGAGAGAUGUCUGAUUAAUUUCGGACGCCUUUUGGAAAAGUUGUUUAAACCUUACCAUUUAGAGGAAGGUGAAGUCGUAACA